rnacentral:lncRNA from 1 species
AUUUUAAAUUGGACUCGCAUUGAAAAGGAGUACUUGUUCACAAAUUAGUAGUUGUGAAACAUCGCUCCUAGUUAUAAAGUUGGAAGCAAGAAAAAAAAAUGUAAAAAUUAAUGUUUGACAUCAUCGUACUAGUCGAGCACUUGGACCAACAAAAAUGUCAAUGAGAAACAAACGUCAACAAAAAUGUGAACAUAAUGUUUCAUAUUCUGGGAAAAUUCAUAUUUUCGACCUGCAGGUUGAGCAAGAAGAAAUUGCUGUCUUUUUGGUUUAGAACUUGCUGCCUCAAUGUCUUCUCAUCCCUCUUGUACUGAAGUGGCAGCAAUCGCGUAAAAUCUGCUGGAAUUAGCAUACAUGAUACAUCUGAGAGUGCGUCUCAGAACAAUCAACUUACAGCACGAUAGCACGUCUAAGCACUAGAACCUCGUUUCUUCCUGCAUUUCAAUGAAUUAAGUAUGUCUCACUAAACUCAAAUUUACAUUUAUAAGGUUGUUUAGAAACUAUUCAAACAAAAACAUACGGUCUGGUUCUUUUUAUUCACAUUAUUUAUAGCAGAUUCUGUUGGGAAUCUACUUAUACAUGCACAGCGGAAAAUUAAAUUAUUUCGAUUCCCAUCCAAUAGAUCUCAUUGUGUUUGGUUAGGAAUUGUGAUAAGAUUGUACAUUUUCCAGAUCUGCAUACCACUGUUGGGAAUCUUUUCCAGAUCUGCAAUCUUUUCGCUUUUCUUUUCGUUCCACAACUUUGAUUCGCCACCACAGUUGUCCAAUUGUCCAGCCUCCAACGGUGAUCCACACAGAGAAUAUGAUUGCAG